AGAGGUGUGCUGCGUUUGCUGGUUUGGAGUACCUUCCUUGUUACAGGAAGAGAAGCUCAGUGCAGUUCCUGCAGAGAAGUUUCAGCAUGACCCUCAUCGUCCAAAACAGGGCUUUGAUUGUUGCGUUACUACACAGUAAUACUUCUGUGGGCCGAUACUGAAGCCCACCUGAACUGAACUCUAGAUGACCAAACUUGAGGUAUGAAUCAAUACACUAUUUAGAAGAGCUAAGCACGCUUACGUUACCUGCUGCUAUCUACAAGUUUUCUUGAAACUGGACGAAAGAAUAUUAUUUCACUACUUUUCUCAUUAUUCUCUAGCCUUUGAAGCACCAGAAAACAGAGGUAGGAGAAACUGCAUUGCUUAACAAAAGCAGUUGACAGCCUUGCAAAUUUUCAUUUCAACUCCAUUACAGUAUUUGGAGUGGAAAUAAAAAUUCUUAACACACUAGAAAUUGUGUGCUAGCUGACUCCUGCAUGCAUUCUUAGUUCACCGCAGUUGAACUUGAGGACAUCAACCACCUACUAUCCAUGUAAGUAACAAGUGAACACAACUGAACAGGACUGUUGGCGCUACAGCAGGAAUUUGCUCAUGUGACUUACAUGAGAGUUGUUAGGAAUCACUGCAAUGUGAUACAUGAGGAGUAAUUUAAAUAAAAUGCAAUUAAGAGCUAUGCCCACCGGCCACCCUGAUAAAGUGCUUACACGGUCCAAUUAAGUUAGUUGAAAGAGUUAGUUACUGAAUGUUGCAUAGUGGGAAAAGUUUGUUUACAUAUUCUGAACAUAUUUCCACAGGAUGGGGGGGAGAGAUGGGGAUGUUAGAAUUAAAGGCAGUGUUAAGUAUGCAAAAUGUUUACUAUGUAUGUAAAUGGGAUCCUGAUUAGUGACAGAUCAUGUGCAAAUUGACAAUACUCAAUUUAUUUUUGAAUGGCAAUAUAGAUUGUCAAGGUUGUGUAUAAUGAUAAUAAAUAUAUAAAACGCUACUUGAAC
rnacentral:lncRNA from 7 species